ACUCCUACGGGAGGCAGCAGUGGGGAAUAUUGGACAAUGGGCGCAAGCCUGAUCCAGCCAUGCCGCGUGAAUGAUGAAGGCCUUAGGGUUGUAAAAUUCUUUCGCUAGGGAUGAUAAUGACAGUACCUAGUAAAGAAGCCGCCAGCUACUUGUGCCAGCAGCCGCGGUAAAUACGAAAGGGGCGGCAUAGCGUUUGUUCGGGAAUUACUGGGCGUAAAGCGCACGUAGGCGGACUUUUAAGUCAGAUGUGAAAUCCACG
rnacentral:rRNA from 1 species